ACACCGAUACUUCAUACAUUUUUCCUUCUUGUCUUAUUUUGUUACCGCCUUCUUCUCUGGUUCGUUUUCCACGUCGCUGCCCUCCUCCUCCAAUACUCUUUCUUUCGCUUUUCCUUAGUUCCUCUUUAUUUCUUCUUCACUCUUCCUUACGUCUCUCUCCCUCGAAGGGCAUACAACAGUAUCCGAUUGAGCGCCACCGUAACUGGUAUCGGCUAUGGUGGUGGGGUUUCUUGCUCUUUCUUUCAGGAUGGCCGAGGGUAUAUAUUCUACACCGCCAUCACCACUUCCCCUUUAUGAGCUUUGUCUCAGGAAGGUAUAUAUUCUACAUGUCGGUUGAAAUAAAUUGUUGUAUAGAGGCUGUUAAUAUGCUAAAAGGGAAGUGCACUUGUAGUGUUUGUGGAAAUGCCUAAGAGAAGGUAAUAUGUUUCUAUUAUCUGUUAUAGAUCAAAUAUGCUGCAGGUUUGUACAUGUUUCUAUUAUAUGUCAUCAAUCAUCAGUCAUGUUAUUUUUUUCAUAUGAACAGAUUUCUAAAUCUUCUUCAGAGCUGGAAUUAGGUAGAUUAAAUCAUAGCUUUUCUUGGAUAGAUAUUUUAUAAUCUACACUUAAAUUACAUGUGAUCUUUCAACAAGGUUAUGAUAUUGAUAUUGUUGUUGCAGAAAGGUAACUCUUUUGUGAAAAUGGUAUCUACUUUCAUCAUAAGCGGAUGCUUAAUUGUUGCAAUUAGUGUAAUGGGUCGGAUCUUUUUGCCCCGUUUUCAAAAUGGGCAAAACCGUUUCAGUGGAAAUCAACAGCCCCAAUCAUCACAUACUGAUUCAGUUCGUCUUUGGUCCAUGGAUCCUACUAUGUUGGAAGAGGUUUGUAUUUAAAUUUUGAAGAAAGUUGAAGCGGUUUAUGGGUGGAGUGGAGAGAUAAGAAAAGAAAGUGGUGGUGGUGUAUCAACAGGUCAACUCCCUGGUUACCUAACAAGAUUGAUUCAAGUUGACAACAAUAAUGCCACGUCAGCAUCAUCCACUAUCACUCCAACCGAUAAAACUGACCAUGAUUUGUUAUUAGCAUCUGGACAUAAAGUCGCAAGUUAUCAGAUUGUGAUAUCAUCAGAAGGGAAAAUAGUAGGAUUCCAACCCACGAGCCUUCUUGCUGUUAAUAAUUGGGCAUCAAAUCCUUUGACCCAAGAGUUAUAUGGAAGGAAAAAACUCUCACCAGGAUUCUUAGAGCCUUCAUUGAAAAUCAAACAGCCGAAGGAGGUGGUUUUGUUAGAGUUGGUGAUGUCAGAAAUUAGUGGCUCACAUUUUGUGUUGGUUAGACCGGUUAAUGUGGAGAUUUAAAUUUUUUAUUAGGAAAAGUUAACAUAAGUAAGUAUAGAUGUUGAGCUAAUUGGAUCGAUAAAUGUAAUAAAACUAUGAAUAAAUGGUUGUAUUGUUCUUUGAUUUAAUUCAUAAAAUUAGAUGCAUGUUAGAGGGAA